UACGUAGGGCGCAAGCGUUGUCCGGAAUUAUUGGGCGUAAAGAGCUCGUAGGCGGUCUGUCGCGUCGAAUGUGAAAACCCGGGGCUCAACCCCGGGCCUGCAUUCGAUACGGGCAGACUAGAGUUCGGUAGGGGAGUCUGGAAUUCCUGGUGUAGCGGUGAAAUGCGCAGAUAUCAGGAGGAACACCGGUGGCGAAGGCGGGUCUCUGGGCCGUAACUGACGCUGAGGAGCGAAAGCAUGGGGAGCGAACAGG
rnacentral:rRNA from 1 species